rnacentral:rRNA from 1 species
UACGAGGGGGGCAAGUGUUGUUCGGAAUCACUGGGCGUAAAGGGAGCGUAGGCGGGCUCUUAAGUUGGAUGUUUAAAACCGGGGCCCAACCCCGGCGUGGCAUCCAAAACUGGGAGUCUUGAAUGGAACAGAGGCUAGUGGAAUUGGAGGUGUAGCGGUGGAAUGCGUAGAGAUCUCCAAGAACACCCGUUGCGAAGGCGGCUAGCUGGGUUCACAUUGACGCUGAGGCUCGAAAGCGUGGGGAUCAAACAGG